UGGUGCGAUCAUACCAGCACUAAUACACUGGAUCCCAUCAGAACUUUGCAGUUAAACGUGCUUGGGUGAGAGUAGUACUAGGAUGGUUGACCUCCUGGAAGUCCUCAUGUUGCAUCCC
rnacentral:rRNA from 1 species